rnacentral:lncRNA from 1 species
UCUUCCAAAUAUAGCAAAAUACGAUGAUUAACUAUCCUACUCAGCUGCAGCAGCCUCCUGGCCAACCACGGCCUCCUCAGCCUCAGCAGGCCUCUCAAGCUUGACACCAACAUCCUCCUUGGUAUAGUCACCAUGGACCUGCGAAGCAAUAUUAAGUGUUAGAAUGACAGGCCACAGAAAGGCUGGAAAAAACAUGAUAGCUCUGUCACUAGGAAUUACCUCCAUUAGCUUCCCGAGGUCAAACUUGGGGGCCUUGAGGAUCUUGACCUUCCGGAUAAAAACAUUCUGCAGUGGGAAGAUGCUUGAGGUAGCCUUUUCAAUUUCCUUACCAAUGACCUCAGGAAUAAACUUAGACACCAACUCCUUCAGGUCACAGGUAGAGGCCUGGUUGGCCAUGAUCUCAACCAUCUUCCGGCGGAUCUGCACAUAGAGCGCAAGUAUAGUGAGACAAACAGGAUAACAUAGUUUCAGGCUGAUUUGAAAGAUACAUGGACAUUGCUAGCUUUAGAACUCUUCUACAUAAGCAACAACAGAUGUUACCUGACGGAUCUGGGAGGCCUGUGCAUAGCAGGUACGCUUCACUUGGUUGGGUCUCCUCUUUGUGAAUCCGAUGCAAAACAACCGCAACAUGUAGUUGUCAGUGGUCUUCACAUCAACAUGGGCCUCAAUCAGUGUCUGCCAUUUCCUGACCAGGGACCGAAGCUUGUCGGUCGUAAAAUCC